GAUGAACGCUGGCGGCGUGCCUAAUACAUGCCAGUCGAGCGAACGGACGAGAAGCUUGCUUCUCUGAUGUUAGCGGCGGACGGGUGAGUAACACGUGGAUAACCUACCUAUAAGACUUGGAUAACUUCGGGAAACCGGAGCUAAUACCGGAUAAUAUUUUGAACCGCAGGGUUCAAAAGUGAAAGACGGUCUUGCUGUCACUUAUAGAUGGAUCCGCGCUGCAUUAGCUAGUUGGUAAGGUAACGGCUUACCAAGGCAACGAUGCAUAGCCGACCUGAGAGGGUGAUCGGCCACACUGGAACUGAGACACGGUCCAGACUCCUACGGGAGGCAGCAGUAGGGAAUCUUCCGCAAUGGGCGAAAGCCUGACGGAGCAACGCCGCGUGAGUGAUGAAGGUCUUCGGAUCGUAAAACUCUGUUAUUAGGGAAGAACAUAUGUGUAAGUAACUGUGCAUAUCUUGACGGUACCUAAUCAGAAAGCCACGGCUAACUACGUG
rnacentral:rRNA from 1 species